rnacentral:rRNA from 1 species
GACGAACGCUGGCGGCGUGCUUAACACAUGCAAGUCGAACGGAAAGGCCCUGCUUUUGUGGGGUGCUCGAGUGGCGAACGGGUGAGUAACACGUGAGUAACCUGCCCUUGACUUUGGGAUAACUUCAGGAAACUGGGGCUAAUACCGGAUAGGAGCUCCUGCUGCAUGGUGGGGGUUGGAAAGUUUCGGCGGUUGGGGAUGGACUCGCGGCUUAUCAGCUUGUUGGUGGGGUAGUGGCUUACCAAGGCUUUGACGGGUAGCCGGCCUGAGAGGGUGACCGGCCACAUUGGGACUGAGAUACGGCCCAGACUCCUACGGGAGGCAGCAGUGGGGAAUAUUGCACAAUGGGCGGAAGCCUGAUGCAGCAACGCCGCGUGCGGGAUGACGGCCUUCGGGUUGUAAACCGCUUUCGCCUGUGACGAAGCGUGAGUGACGGUAAUGGGUAAAGAAGCACCGGCUAACUACGUGCCAGCAGCCGCGGUGAUACGUAGGGUGCGAGCGUUGUCCGGAUUUAUUGGGCGUAAAGGGCUCGUAGGUGGUUGAUCGCGUCGGAAGUGUAAUCUUGGGGCUUAACCCUGAGCGUGCUUUCGAUACGGGUUGACUUGAGGAAGGUAGGGGAGAAUGGAAUUCCUGGUGGAGCGGUGGAAUGCGCAGAUAUCAGGAGGAACACCAGUGGCGAAGGCGGUUCUCUGGGCCUUUCCUGACGCUGAGGAGCGAAAGCGUGGGGAGCGAACAGGCUUAGAUACCCUGGUAGUCCACGCUGUAAACGGUGGGUACUAGGUGUGGGGUCCAUUCCACGGGUUCCGUGCCGUAGCUAACGCUUUAAGUACCCCGCCUGGGGAGUACGGCCGCAAGGCUAAAACUCAAAGGAAUUGACGGGGCCCCGCACAAGCGGCGGAGCAUGCGGAUUAAUUCGAUGCAACGCGUAGAACCUUACCUGGGUUUGACAUGGAUCGGGAGUGCUCAGAGAUGGGUGUGCCUCUUUUGGGGUCGGUUCACAGGUGGUGCAUGGCUGUCGUCAGCUCGUGUCGUGAGAUGUUGGGUUAAGUCCCGCAACGAGCGCAACCCUUGUUCACUGUUGCCAGCACGUUAUGGUGGGGACUCAGUGGAGACCGCCGGGGUCAACUCGGAGGAAGGUGGGGAUGACGUCAAGUCAUCAUGCCCCUUAUGUCCAGGGCUUCACGCAUGCUACAAUGGCUGGUACAGAGAGUGGCGAGCCUGUGAGGGUGAGCGAAUCUCGGAAAGCCGGUCUCAGUUCGGAUCGGGGUCUGCAACUCGACCUCAUGAAGUCGGAGUCGCUAGUAAUCGCAGAUCAGCAACGCUGCGGUGAAUAAGUUCCCGGG